rnacentral:tRNA from 1 species
GCCUGGGUGGCUCAGUGGUUGAGCACCUGCCUUCGGCUCAGGUCGUGAUCCUGGGGUCCUGGGAUCGAGUCCCGCAUCAGGCU